rnacentral:rRNA from 1 species
GACGAACGCUGGCGGCGUGCUUAACACAUGCAAGUCGAACGGAAAGGCCCUGCUUUUGUGGGGUGCUCGAGUGGCGAACGGGUGAGUAACACGUGAGUAACCUGCCCUUGACUUUGGGAUAACUUCAGGAAACUGGGGCUAAUACCGGAUAGGAGCUCCUGCUGCAUGGUGGGGGUUGGAAAGUUUCGGCGGUUGGGGAUGGACUCGCGGCUUAUCAGCUUGUUGGUGGGGUAGUGGCUUACCAAGGCUUUGACGGGUAGCCGGCCUGAGAGGGUGACCGGCCACAUUGGGACUGAGAUACGGCCCAGACUCCUACGGGAGGCAGCAGUGGGGAAUAUUGCACAAUGGGCGGAAGCCUGAUGCAGCAACGCCGCGUGCGGGGUGACGGCCUUCGGGUUGUAAACCGCUUUCGCCUGUGACGAAGCGUGAGUGACGGUAAUGGGUAAAGAAGCACCGGCUAACUACGUGCCAGCAGCCGCGGUGAUACGUAGGGUGCGAGCGUUGUCCGGAUUUAUUGGGCGUAAAGGGCUCGUAGGUGGUUGAUCGCGUCGGAAGUGUAAUCUUGGGGCUUAACCCUGAGCGUGCUUUCGAUACGGGUUGACUUGAGGAAGGUAGGGGAGAAUGGAAUUCCUGGUGGAGCGGUGGAAUGCGCAGAUAUCAGGAGGAACACCAGUGGCGAAGGCGGUUCUCUGGGCCUUUCCUGACGCUGAGGAGCGAAAGCGUGGGGAGCGAACAGGCUUAGAUACCCUGGUAGUCCACGCUGUAAACGGUGGGUACUAGGUGUGGGGUCCAUUCCACGGGUUCCGUGCCGUAGCUAACGCUUUAAGUACCCCGCCUGGGGAGUACGGCCGCAAGGCUAAAACUCAAAGGAAUUGACGGGGCCCCGCACAAGCGGCGGAGCAUGCGGAUUAAUUCGAUGCAACGCGUAGAACCUUACCUGGGUUUGACAUGGAUCGGGAGUGCUCAGAGAUGGGUGUGCCUCUUUUGGGGUCGGUUCACAGGUGGUGCAUGGCUGUCGUCAGCUCGUGUCGUGAGAUGUUGGGUUAAGUCCCGCAACGAGCGCAACCCUUGUUCACUGUUGCCAGCACGUUAUGGUGGGGACUCAGUGGAGACCGCCGGGGUCAACUCGGAGGAAGGUGGGGAUGACGUCAAGUCAUCAUGCCCCUUAUGUCCAGGGCUUCACGCAUGCUACAAUGGCUGGUACAGAGAGUGGCGAGCCUGUGAGGGUGAGCGAAUCUCGGAAAGCCGGUCUCAGUUCGGAUUGGGGUCUGCAACUCGACCUCAUGAAGUCGGAGUCGCUAGUAAUCGCAGAUCAGCAACGCUGCGGUGAAUACGUUCCCGGG